UACGUAGGGGGCAAGCGUUGUCCGGAUUUAUUGGGCGUAAAGAGCGUGUAAGCGGCUAAAUAGGUCCGUUGUGAAAACUCGAGGCUCAACCUCGAGAUGCCGAUGGAAACCAUUUGGCUAGAGUCCGGAAGAGGAGAGUGGAAUUCCCGGUGUAGCGGUGAAAUGCGCAGAUAUCGGGAAGAACACCCGUGGCUAAGGCGGCUCUCUAGUACGGUACUGACGCUGAGGUGCGAAAGCGUGGGGAGCAAACAGG
rnacentral:rRNA from 1 species